rnacentral:rRNA from 1 species
GGGUGCUAUCAUACUAGCACUAAUGUACCGGAUCCCAUCAGAACUCCGCAGAUAAGCGUGCUUGGGCGAGAGUAGUACUAGGAUGGGUGACCUCUUGGGAAGUCCUCGUGUUGCACCCC